ACGAACGCUGGCGGCGUGCUUCACACAUGCAAGUCGAACGGAAAGGCCCUGCUUUUGUGGGGUGCUCGAGUGGCGAACGGGUGAGUAACGCGUGAGUAACCUGCCCUUGACUUUGGGAUAACUUCAGGAAACUGGGGCUAAUACCGGAUAGGAGCUCCUGCUGCAUGGUGGGGGUUGGAAAGUUUCGGCGGUUGGGGAUGGACUCGCGGCUUAUCAGCUUGUUGGUGGGGUAGUGGCUUACCAAGGCUUUGACGGGUAGCCGGCCUGAGAGGGUGACCGGCCACAUUGGGACUGAGAUACGGCCCAGACUCCUACGGGAGGCAGCAGUGGGGAAUAUUGCACAAUGGGCGGAAGCCUGAUGCAGCAACGCCGCGUGCGGGAUGACGGCCUUCGGGUUGUAAACCGCUUUCGCCUGUGACGAAGCGUGAGUGACGGUAAUGGGUAAAGAAGCACCGGCUAACUACGUG
rnacentral:rRNA from 1 species